CACACCUGAGGUCAUUACAAUUUCCGCAUGACCCACCACAUAAACGAGACAACAACAUUUUCCAACACCACAACUCAUAGCUACGACCGAUGAGGUCCCGACUAGUCAUCCAGAUCCACCAUUUAGGAAGUACUGGAACAGCGCAGAGGACAGCCUGUCAACGACUCUUCGCUUCAACUCCACACAGUCCUUCCCUUCUUACGAAGAGGGAACUGGUGUAUAAAUCGACACCAUGCACGGAGAGAGGUUGGAAAAAUUGGUCAACCGAAACAUCGAAGACGGCAUGAUCCCUUUGGUGCACUGACUCCGCUGAGAGUGAACUUGAGAACAUAGGUUAUUUCAUGAGAGAAAAUGUGAGUUUUCAUACUGCCUCUUUCACAGUAGGCUACUCUAUUUGAAAUGCUGUGUGUUUUGACACUCUCUAGAUAACUUUUGAUUUGGAGUAUUUUUGGCACGCAAUUCUUUCUAGAUAAAUGCAUGAAUAAGAUGCGACAAAAUCUAAGACGUAGCCAAAAUAACAUUUUCAGAUCUUCACAUUAAUUAAUGUUUUUUACCCAUUUUACGCACGCAUUACGCACAACGUGCCCACAGUUUUUACAUGUAUUUUUUGUUGUUGCAUUAAAUGCGUUGUAUGUGGUCUUCUUUGCUAUAGCUUACUGUAUGCAAAUGGUAAAAAUCUUUUCAAUGAUAAUAUACAUUGUGCUUAUGUCGACCCAAAUGUAUUUGGUCACGCCUUACAAAACGCUCAAGUGACGGCGAGAAGAUUUCAGUGCGCUCAAAGUCACUGAACCUUGUUCUAUUGGCCGUUGGACAUAUGUUGGCAAUAUGGAUGUGAUUAAUAUGUUGCCUUUUGAUCAAAGUGCAUGCUGAGUUUAACCACGUAAUGUCAUUGCAUAAUAUUUUGAUUAGGAUUAUUCACUAAGAUUUCAUAAAAUAAUCAUAAUUUCGAAUGUCCAUUGUUCGUUUGAAACCAUGAACUUCAAGUCGCAUUCGACAGCUACUAUCAGGACCUUUGUAUUCUACAUUUUCUGUCAAUUAUAUUGUUUUCCAACACUGUGCACUCACUGUACUCUAACAACACUCAUACUUAAUGUGGCACUCAUUUGUGUGUGUGUGUGUGUGUGUGUGUGUGUGUGUGUGUGUGUGUGUGUGUGUGUGUGUGUGUGUGUGUGUGUGUGUGUGUGUGUGUGUGUGUGUGUGUGUAUUUGAAUGCAUGAAAGACAGAGGAAAAAGGUCCCUUUCCCUUAAAGUUACCAGAAGGACUGGUGUAUAUUGAUAUAAUGCUAAAAAGAGAGGUGGAGUAUAUUGAUAAGUACAUUGAUGAAUCAACAGACUUGUAUAGCAGGUAGGUGUAGCACAGAGAUAGAAAGCAUGUAAAUGAGGUCAUCAGUUGCAGUUGCUGGGGAGAUUUGGACCAGAUUCAUGGAUUGGAGGAGAGAAAGGAGAGGGGAAAGAGAGCCCUGCUGGUGUCAAACUGGGCCUGUAGACUAUACAAGGAGCCAAAUAGUGGGCCAGACAACAACAUUGACUUGGAGAACAGACAAGGAAGAUUGCGAAAGAGUCAUAAGUGUAUCAGACAAGAUUAUUAAUAAUGUUACCCCUGCUUUUUAUAGUUAUGUGAAAAUUAAAUUCAGAAUUAAAUUGAUUAAUUGACCACCA